rnacentral:lncRNA from 1 species
AUUACUUAUAUUUAUACAAUAAUAUGUUUAUUUUCCAAAUUAUAUUUAAUUAUAUGAUUGAAAUUUAUGAAUGAUUGAUGUCUCAAUUCAACAAAUAUUAAUCAAAUCAAGGUAUCCUUCUAUCUUAAAAUUCCUAUCCAUCCCUACCUAAGCCAAUUACCAUGGCACAACCCAACUUAACUUGGCUAACCCAACCCAACCUAGCUAGCCUGACCAAACUCGAAUUUAGCUUA